GCGGGCAUGAUGUAAUGGUAGCCUGAAAGCUUCCCAAGCUUUACGCCCGGGUUCGAUUCCCGGUGCCCGCUCCA
rnacentral:tRNA from 1 species